CCCAUCUCCCACAUGGCAGCUCUUCCUUGAAAAUGGCCAGUCUGCACCUCAAACGGGAGCCAAGGAGGGUCCAGAAUGAGGUGUAUAAUAACCAUAUUAGCCCAGGAUCUCGGGACUCUGUGACUGAAUUUCUACAAUCAUUUGAAAGGGAGAAGAGAAGAGAAUCUGGGAAAUGGAUACAAGGAAGAUUAUUCCUACUUAGAGGAAGCUGAUGACUCAAUAGAUACUGGGUCUGGAGUCAGGAAGAUCUGAGUUGAAACUUAGACUCAGACACUUACUAGCUGUAUCGUCCUAGGCAUCCCACUCUGUGUCUCAGCUUCUUUAACUGUGAAAUAAAAAUAACCAAAG